GACGAACGCUGGCGGCGUGCUUAACACAUGCAAGUCGAGCGGAAAGGCCCUUCGGGGUACUCGAGCGGCGAACGGGUGAGUAACACGUGAGUAACCUGCCCUCAACUUCGGGAUAAGCCUGGGAAACUGGGUCUAAUACCGGAUAUGACUACUUCGGGCAUCCGAUGGUGGUGGAAAGUUUUUCGGUUGGGGAGUGGGCGUCGCGGCCUAUCAGCUUGUUGGUGGGGUAGUGGCCUACCAAGGCGACGACGGGUAGCCGGCCUGAGAGGGCGACCGGCCACACUGGGACUGAGACACGGCCCAGACUCCUACGGGAGGCAGCAGUGGGGAAUAUUGCGCAAUGGGCGGAAGCCUGACGCAGCGACGCCGCGUGGGGGA
rnacentral:rRNA from 1 species